rnacentral:ncRNA from 1 species
GUAGUCUGCCAUACGCAGGAAGACCCGCUGAACUGAAGCAUCUCAUUAAGCGGAGGAAAAGAAACUAACUAGGAUUCCCUUAGUAAAGGCGAUCGAAAAGGGAACAGCCCAACGUCUUAAUCCCGCAAGGGAAAUGUAGUCGGUUCACCUAUUGCACUGGUCUAAGUCAGAUGGAAUGCUGCGCGAUUCAGAGUAAAAGCCUCGUAUGACCAACCGCAAGCUUACGAUGGACCGGGGAGAGUCGGAUACUUUGAGAGUAGUGUCUUAAGGGGGUGGUAUGUCCCAUCCAAGGCUAAAUAACGUGAGGAGACCGAUAGAUUACAAGUAGUGUGAACGAAAGAUGAAAAGAACUCUAAAACAGAGGGUGAAAAGUUCCUGAACUUGCUUAGGGUAAGACUAUUUAUAGUACCCGUCUUGGAACACGGAU